UUUGAGAAUAUUCUGCACCAUCUCUGAGACAUUCUUGACCCUGGCACCAGGGAGGCAACACACCAUUCUGCUAUCUCGCAGUUGGCUUCAGAAAUAUCAAAAUGUGCCCUGGACUGCAGAGUCGCCUAUGAAAUUCAAUCCAAAGGAACCUGACAUACCACUCUUUACAGUAGAAACAGUUUGGAUACCAGAGACACAUCUGUCAGCACUAUAUUUCCUCUGAGAGGCCAACAGCCACUACAUUUCCCAAAAUAGCAUACUUAUUUGAGAUAGGGAUAGCCACAGGAGACUCCUUCACUACCUGCCUAACUCUCCUACCUUUCCGAGCAGUAACCCAUCUACCUAACUGUAUCUGUGGUUUUCCUACCUUCCUGAAACUGCCAUCCCACAUCUCCUAGCUCCUGUAAAUUCCUCAUUGUCUCUAACUGCCGUUCCAACCGAUCCAUGCGAUCUGACAGGAUUUUCAUCAAACACACUUCUUGCAGACAUAAUCUCAAGGAACACUGAAAUUAUCUGUAAUCUCCCCUAUCUGACAGAAAGACCACAUCACUCCACUAAAAGUCUUCUCUGCACCUUAAACAAUCUACAGACCCAAAAUAUACCCCAAAAAAUCACAAGACAUGCUCUCAAAAACUCUUGUGUUGAACAGUCUUAUUGUUCAAAAACAUUGUUCUGGAAUAACUUAAUAUCAAAAUCAGGAGACAGAUCUCAGUAUAACAUUAAAAAAAAGUCCCCUCAACCUACUCACUAUCAUAGAUUUGCAAAAAAAAAAUUUAUAAGUCUUAAAAUUAAACACUUAGCUGACCACGCUCUGAAAUCACUGAUCAUUCCCAGUUGCUGUGUGUAGUUUCCAUACUGAAGUAUCCCAAUGUCAGCUGUGAAACAGCAUUGCACUGUUUGUUUUUCUUUGACUGAUCUCCAGAGAUGCUUGUAAUUUAUUAUAUUUACUUAGUUUUUAAAAACUUCAAUUAUGUACAAUAGUAGAAAUACUCAAGUGCAAAUCUAUUCAGAUCAGAAAUAGUAUCAUUCAAUGCAAGUUCUAUAGCGUGUUUCCUGUUGAUUUGUGAACAAUACCUCUCCUUGUCAUUGUGCAAAUGAAAAAGACAAUGACCACUGCUAGAAUUUUGAAGUAUUAUAGUCAUUAUGCACAGUAAUCUUCUAUGCAGUGUUGCUUGCUGGAGGAAGAUGAACAGUAGUGGCUCUGUCCUACAAGCUGCUUUAAUCUAUCAUUACAUUGAAUGGGGAUCAGCUCAUGGGGGAGAUAGAAGAUAGAAGUGCAGCGAUGUAAUGUUAGGCCUCUCCACUCCAUUGACUUUCAUUUCCUGUCAGUAGGUAGUCUGUGAGUAUAAUGAAGGGGAAACAAGCCCUGGAAUAUGUAAAAUAUCCUGGAUGUUUCCAACAAUAUCAUUAAAAUGUUUUGCUUUAAAAUAGGUAAAUCUGAUUCAGACCUCAUGGUGUCCAGACAUGUAUUCCAGCAUGGGAAACUAGGGGUCAACAAGAGGAAGGUAACUGGCCACAAGUCUUCAUUGGGAUCAUCUUUUGAUCUUGCUGAUUUCAGAGCAAUUGUCCUCUGCUAUUUGUCCCAGAUCUUGUGCAUUCCAAUAGAUGGUGUUCCCAAUUUACAACAACAGAGGCUGAUGAUGUCCCCAACUAAGUUUGGCAGUCAAGGUGCCCCUGGGAAAGCAAAUGAUGCAGCAGGUUGAAUUCCAAGAGAAAACUAACGGAUUCCAAAACAGCGCCCUUGUGCAAUUCGAAAACUAUCAGUCUCAAUAUUGAAAGACCAAACGAACAGAAACAAAGCUGCACAGAACUGAGGAGUGUUCCCGCUACAGAAAAUCCAAAGCUGAUCCAUUCUCACUACCGCAAGGUGCUCUUCAGAUGAAUAACACUGAUAAAUUUAAGACGAGGCAAGUGUGAUAUAAAGUGUAAAGUAUAUAUUAAUUAUCAUUUGAGAAUUCAUAUUUUUAAUGGGAAUUUUUGUUUCAGUUCUAUAAGGGAAUUUUUUUCAAAAAAGAAGUCAAGUGAUCUAAACACGUAAUUUCUGAGAAAACAUGCAAUUCAUGUCAAAACUAAUCAAUCGAAGGUGUCAUUGCCCAUGUUUGACCUGGUGCCAAAAGACUUGAAGGCUCCAAAAUGAAUGUUGAGGACUCACAGAGCCCCACCCUCCCAAAUAUGUCACUGUCCCAUGAUCGCUGCUAGGCCUGUACAAUUGGAGGAAUCUGGAACACAGGCUGAGUGGCAUGAUUCUAACCAGAUAGAUGUGGUAUGAGUUGGUGGAUUGAUAAGUUAAUGACAUACAGAAAAACAAAUGACACUGAUAUCGUAAUUUGAAUUUAGUCCAGAACAAUUAGAUUUUGAUUUCAUUCUAGAAGAAGAGUAGGGUAUAUUUCAGUUCAGGAGAGGAUUUUCCCCUAGCAGAAGGGUAAAUUGGAUUUUCAAGUCAUAGAGUCAUCAAUUCAUACAGCACAGAAACAUAUCCUUUGGUCCAACUCAUCCACAUAAAUCAGA